CAGCAGCCGCGGUAAGACAGAGGUCCCGAGCGUUGUUCGGAUUCAUUGGGCGUAAAGGGUGUGUAGGAGGCCAGGUAAGUCAGGUGUGAAAUCUCAGAGCUUAACUCUGAAACUGCGCUUGAUACUGCUUGGCUAGAGGAUCGGAGGGGGUAACGGAAUUUAUGGUGUAGCAGUGAAAUGCGUAGAUAUCAUAAGGAACACCGGUGGCGAAGGCGGUUACCUGGAAGAUUCCUGACUCUGAAACACGAAAGCCAGGGGAGCAAACGGGAUUAGAUACCCCGGUAGUCCCUGUCUCUUAUAC
rnacentral:rRNA from 1 species